CCCUUUCCUCUCAGAUCCUCGUGGAGUCUCCCUGAGGUCCAAGAACACCUUCCAAUUCCAGCUCCAUCGUACCUGGAGUCCUCCCACCCCAGCAUUCAGGAUGAAAUAGAGCAACACUCAGCAGACAUUCAUGGCACCCGCUGGACUGCAGCAUGAUGGAAAACCUGAGCACUCAUAUGACAAACAAGACGAGGUCCACUCCAGCCUCGCAGAAGUGAGUGGUAAUAAAGGAAGCUGCAAGAGUAUACGGUAAAUUCCAACCAACAUCAGGGGCCUUGAGGAUGGACAGGACAACUCUCCACUUUGGCAGGAAGGCAAAACAUGACUGGCAAGACCCUUUCAUCUCCAGCAGCCACAGAGCAGCCUGAGAUUGUCCAGAAGCCCAGAAGCUGCUCUGUCCAGGGACCUGCCCCGUCAUCCUCCCAGGCGAAGUGAAGGCCAAAUAGCCCAAGAGACGGCCAUGUAGUCCAGCUGCCGACCUCUUGUUCCAUCUGGCCUGACUGCUGACUCUGAGCAUGUGGUCCAGAACCUCCCAGCCUGCCCCCUGUUGAGUGAAGAGUUUGGGCCUAGUCCCUUCUCUCCAUUGUCCUCACACAGCUUCUAAAUUCCUGCCACGGAGUUGCAGGGGCCAAUCUCAAGCUACUGCUAAGACAGAUGAGACCCUUGCUCCCUUGCCACCUGCAGGGUUCCCGCUGAACCUUGCUGCUUUGUCUCAGAGGAUCCUGGGUCUGCACACGCGCAAACAGCAGCUGGACUUCGGCAGCUUCCAUUAUGAAGGGAGGAGCCACGAAGAGGGAAGGAGGGGGCAGCUUUGGUUCCUACAUUCCAGAAAACAUCAAAAACACAUGCCUGAUGCACAUGACUUCAUCCAUCCUCUCUCCACCCACAGGAGAAGGGUUCCUAACACCAGCCACACUGAACAGAUGAGGGAACUGAGGCACAGACUGCUCACAGGGAGCUUGGAAGGCCCAAGAUUUCCUGCAGGCAAUCUGGCACCGGAGUCUCUGCUCUGAACCAUGCUGCCUGCUGGCAUCAGGUGAGCAUGGCACUCAUUGACUUACUGUUCAAACCUAAGGUGCUUCAGUGUGAAUUCAUUAAUCUCUCCAUUCAUAAAAAAGUCAAAACAAAUGAAUAAAAACAUUUAUCAAGUACCUGAC
rnacentral:lncRNA from 1 species